UCGGGAAUUUUGGGCAAUGGGCGAAAGCCUGACCCAGCAACGCCGCGUGAAGGAUGAAGUAUUUCGGUAUGUAAACUUCGAAAGAAUAGGAAGAAUAAAUGACGGUACUAUUUAUAAGGUCCGGCUAACUACGUGCCAGCAGCCGCGGUAAUACGUAGGGACCAAGCGUUGUUCGGAUUUACUGGGCGUAAAGGGCGCGUAGGCGGCAAUUCAAGUCAUCUGUGAAAUCUCCGGGCUUAACUCGGAACGGUCAGAUGAUACUGCUUUGCUAGAGUGCAGAAGGGGCAAUCGGAAUUCUUGGUGUAGCGGUGAAAUGCGUAGAUAUGUGGAGGAAUACCGAUGGCGAAGGCAGCCCCCUGGGUCGAUACUGACGCUCAUGCACGAAAGCGUGGGGAGCAAACAGGAUUAGAUACCCCCGUAGUCCCUGACGCGGGCUGGCAAGGCGCAU
rnacentral:rRNA from 1 species